GCGCUUUGGCAGCACAUACACUAAAACUGCAACGAUACAGAGAUUAUUAUUCUCUGAGCAAGGAUGACAUGCAAAUGUGUGAAGCUUUCUAUUUUGUA
ensembl:snRNA U6 U6 spliceosomal RNA